rnacentral:tRNA from 1 species
AAGGAUUUAAGUUAAAACAAACUAACAGCCUUCAAAGCUGUAAAUAAAGUUAAGGUCUUUAAGCCUUA